UACGGGGGGGGCAAGCGUUGUUCGGAAUUACUGGGCGUAAAGGGCUCGUAGGCGGCCAACUAAGUCAGACGUGAAAUCCCUCGGCUUAACCGGGGAACUGCGUCUGAUACUGGAUGGCUUGAGGUUGGGAGAGGGAUGCGGAAUUCCAGGUGUAGCGGUGAAAUGCGUAGAUAUCUGGAGGAAUACCGGUGGCGAAGGCGGCAUCCUGGACCGACAUUGACGCUGAGGAGCGAAAGCCAGGGGAGCAAACGGG
rnacentral:rRNA from 1 species